rnacentral:rRNA from 1 species
UGGGGAAUAUUGGACAAUGGGCGCAAGCCUGAUCCAGCAAUGUCGCGUGUGUGAAGAAGGCCUUCGGGUUGUAAAGCACUUUUAUCAGGAGCGAAACGCUGUCGGCUAAUACCCGGCGGAACUGACGGUACCUGAGGAAUAAGCACCGGCUAACUUCGUGCCAGCAGCCGCGGUAAUACGAAGGGUGCAAGCGUUAAUCGGAAUUACUGGGCGUAAAGCGUGCGUAGGCGGUUUCUUAAGUCUGCUGUGAAAUCCCCGGGCUCAACCUGGGAAUGGCAGUGGAUACUGGGAGGCUAGAGUGUGUCAGAGGGUGGUGGAAUUCCCGGUGUAGCGGUGAAAUGCGUAGAGAUCGGGAGGAACAUCAGUGGCGAAGGCGGCCACCUGGGACAACACUGACGCUGAGGCACGAAAGCGUGGGGAGCAAACAGGAUUAGAUACCCUGGUAGUCCACGCCCUAAAGCGAUGCGAACUGGAUGUUGGUCUCAACUCGGAGAUCAGUGUCGAAGCUAACGCGUUAAGUUCGCCGCCUGGGGAGUACGGUCGCAAGACUGAAACUUAAAUGAAUUGACGGGGUCAUAGCUGUUUCCUG